CUCACUCUGUCGCCAGGCUGGAGUGCAGUGGCGCGAUUAUAUUCACCUAGAAGUUUGUGAACACUGUUCCUCUUUCAGUAAAAUCCAUGUUAUAGAUGCUGCUGGAUUUUAGGCAUCCAGAAAGGCCUGAGAUUGGCAGCUAUUUGUUGACAAUUCAAUGGGUAUAAAAGUUUCAGGCAGCAAAACUAAUGAAUGAUUUCCAACCACAGAAGCCGUCACUGGGAGAGCCAAUAAAGAUACGACAGAUCUGGCAGGAGAACAAGAUCCAGCCCAGGUGAUGGGGUGUGAGGCUUGGUCUUAGCUACAGGUAGGUCGUUUCCCUUAGCUCCUGGAUGACUCAGCUUGGCAGCCACCCAGACUUCUAUCAGGACCCAGAGGUGCUGCCAGCUCUGGAGCCAUGUCAGGCCAGCUUUCUCCCCAUGUCACCAGGGAAUGGAGAUUUUUCUGGUCUGCUGGGGCUUUUCCUAAUUCUGCACGGUCGGCUUGAGACUGUCCACCUGUUGCUCCAUCUAGGCUGCGUUGCCCUUAUGAGCCGUCUUCACAAGGAGACGCUGGUCUGAAAAGAAGGCAACGCAAGGAAGAGAACAGAGCCAAGGCACCUGCAGCGAGCCAGAGCCAGAGCCCUGACAUCACAAAUGCUUUAAUUGGUUCCAUUUAUUGUUUAAUCCACUUGAAAUUGAAUUUCUGUCAUCCCCGACUGGAAGUGUACUGACCUGCAUACUACCUGUGUUUCCUCACAGCAGGCUGAAAAGCUGUGCCAAUAUUGAGCUCAUCCAGAAUUAGACGAAGUUUGUAUUCUUUUUAUUACUUCCUUUAACCCUGAAUCAGGGUCCAGAAGCAUUUUGUUGACCAUUAACUCUUCUCUGUGAAUAAAGCAGCAUGAGGAACAACCUCUUUUAUUCACAGAGCAAAGCUCUUCGCUGCUCAGCCACAGCGGCUUCAACUCUGGCACGGGUCCUGAAGUGCCAUUUCUAGCACAUGACUCACAAAGUAAAUAAUCUGUAAAUGAAAAGCCUCUUAUCAUACUUUGGCACGAAAAACAAAGCGACAAGCCAGGCAGCAUUUUUCCCUCAUAUUUGAACCCCACAUGCACCAAGGGCUGUUUUAUGCCUUGCACAUGAGGAGUUUGGUUUGCUCAAAAGCAAAGUAUUGGCUAACAUGUGUGUGCACUAGUAAUUGCAUUUCUGCUUUGUGUGCUCUGUUAUCUGAUAGAGGAGCUUUGUCAAUAUCCUUUGGAUCUCUCUCCAAGCACAGUCUUCAUUAUGAUCUGUGAGCUGAUUUACGGUCUUCUUGGCAAUUUUACGACUGAUAUCUAGGUGCAUUUGCUAAGAGGACAGCAAUUUAGAAUGAUGUUUCUGUAGCUUUAGUCUCCUCCGCACCUUUAAUAAGAAGAAUAAUCAAUUUUACAUUAGAAAGUUAUUUUGUGCUUAUUCUGGAAAAAUGGAAUUGGUUGCUUUUUCUAAAGAUAAUGAGAAACACUUUUUAUGGCUCCAGACUACUAUAUAUCAGCAUUUUCAUUUUAACAGUAAUAUAUCGAGGACUAGGGGCAAAUGGAUUGCUUGUCCAAUAAAUGAAAUGUUCAAGUAUUCCUCACUGAACUUAGACUCACAAUUUUCAUUUAUGGUUGCAUGUGUAAAAUCACCACUCAAGAACUUGUUUGUCCUUGAAUAUAUAGUUUUGUAUUUCCAUAGUUAUAUUGCAGAACCAUUUACUCAUUAUGUUUACAGUGCCCUUCUGAGGAUUUAUGCUGCCAUUUUCAUCAUUA
rnacentral:lncRNA from 1 species